rnacentral:rRNA from 1 species
GACGAACGCUGGCGGCGUGCCUAAUACAUGCAAGUCGAGCGGACAGAAGGGAGCUUGCUCCCGGAAGUUAGCGGCGGACGGGUGAGUAACACGUGGGCAACCUACCCUGUAGAUCGGGAUAACAUCGAGAAAUCGGUGCUAAUACCGGAUAAUCAUUUGAAGUGCAUGCUUCGAAUGUAAAAGAUGGCUCCGGCUAUCACUACGGGAUGGGCCCGCGGCGCAUUAGCUGGUUGGUAAGGUAAUGGCUUACCAAGGCAACGAUGCGUAGCCGACCUGAGAGGGUGAUCGGCCACACUGGGACUGAGACACGGCCCAGACUCCUACGGGAGGCAGCAGUAGGGAAUCUUCCGCAAUGGACGAAAGUCUGACGGAGCAACGCCGCGUGAGUGAUGAAGGUUUUCGGAUCGCAAAGCUCUGUUGUUAGGGAAGAACAAGUGCCGUUUGAAUAAGGCGGCACCUUGACGGUACCUAACCAGAAAGCCACGGCUAACUACGUGCCAGCCGCCGCCGUAUAC